AUUGAACGCUGGCGGCAGGCCUAACACAUGCAAGUCGAGCGAGCGGCGGACGGGUGAGUAAUGUAUGGGGAUCUGCCCGAUAGAGGGGGAUAACUACUGGAAACGGUAGCUAAUACCGCAUACCAUCAGAGGAACCCAUAUGGGAUUAGCUUGUGGGUGAGGUAACGGCUCACCCAGGCGACGAUCCCUAGCUGGUCUGCGAGGAUGACCAGCCACACUGGGACUGAGACACGGCCCAUACUCCUACGGGAGGCAGCAGUGGGGAAUUGUGCACAAUGGGGGCAACCCUGAUGCAGCCAUGCCGCGUGUAUGAAGAAGGCCUUCGGGUUGUAAAGUACUUUCAGUCGGGAAGCGUUACCUGCAGAAUAAGCACCGGCUAACUCCGUGCCAACAGCCGCGGUAAUAC
rnacentral:rRNA from 1 species